AUUGGCCGCACAGGUGCAGGUUAGAUGUACCUGAACCCGCCUCCUGUUUACAUCCCUGCCGUUUGUGCCGCUGUGAGUCAUGCGGCACGGCUGCGCAUCGCUGCAACGGAGGAGGUGAAUGCGCUGCUGCUUCAGAUCCCCGCAGUAAGAAAGGGCAGAAAGCAGCUGUCGUGCAUCUCCUUCAGGGCCAUUUUCAUACAUGUGCAGCCAAAGAUCCAAAAAAGAUCCAGUUUCCUGAGGCAUCUUGGGUAACACAAGACUCCAGGUCAGGAUUUAAGGCUCAGAAAUAUAGGUGGAUCUAUUUUUAGACCAGGAACUAACAAGUACAUUCUCCUCUGACCUGUCCACUGACAGGAGCGAACGAACAUCUCUCUGUUCACUCACUCUCUGAAUGAGUGUAUCUCAAUUUUAAGCAGUUAGUUACUUUUUGGUAAAGAAGUCCAACUGUCUUCGUGUCUGUGGAGACAAAAGGGGUGAUGCAUGAUCACGACUGAUGCAUGGAAGGCGGACGCAUAACUCGUAAAGCGAGUCAGCAGUGAACUCUAGGUUAAGGAGUUAACCCUGGCUCUCUGAAACAUGAGCGAGGUAGUGUGCGGUCAAAAAGAGAACAGGGGGAAAUAUGGGGACGUGGAUACUCAGUGUGUGCUUUGACAGCAGAAUUGACACAGUGGAGCUUUAGAUAAUGUUCCUCUUAUCUCCGAUUAUUAGAUUCUACAAUAAGAAUACAGAUGAAUGAACGAUGAGGCUACAUGUGACAAAAACGCAAGCAUCAUGCGAGCGUGUGGGUGCUGUGCUUGUGUGUUCUGUGUCUGUGAGUGUGUGUUUUGAACAAGAGGCAGAUGGCAGAUGGUGCGACGCUGGUGGAGAACAGAUUAUUGGCUUCAGGUCAAAGGGAGGCCAGCUAUCAACAUGACGGUCUCCAUCACGGCCCUGAAUCAUCCAUUACCCAUGGCUCAUUUGCAGCACAAUUUCACACGCAGAUCAAAAUGCGAAGGCAUUUCUAAAGUGGUGAGUCUUGAUGGGAGUUCCAGGGUGGGGGUGAAUAUAGAGAAAGCUCUGUUGCUUGGUCCUGACUUCUUAUCACACUGCCCUGGACAUGCACUCUGCUUCCCCUCCUCCUGGAAACUCCUCAGGACGUGUGUUCCUGGCCCACAACACACUCAGCUCCAGCUUCUAUCUUCAUAUUCUCUCUUCCAUUAUUUGGCAAUAAAAGACUUAUCCUGAU